UACGUAGGUGGCAAGCAUUAUCCGGAUUUACUGGGCGUAAAGGGUGCGUAGGCGGAUUUUUAAGUGAGAUGUGAAAUACCCGGGCUUAACUUGGGUGCUGCAUUUCAAACUGGAAAUCUAGAGUGCAGGAGAGGAAAGUGGAAUUCCUAGUGUAGCGGUGAAAUGCGUAGAGAUUAGGAAGAACACCAGUGGCGAAGGCGACUUUCUGGACUGUAACUGACGCUGAGGCACGAAAGCGUGGGGAGCAAACAGG
rnacentral:rRNA from 1 species